CGCAAGUUUGUAAUCCAGCCACAGCCUCCAGAGUGCUGGGAUGAGCACCACGCCCACCUGCCCGAUUGAUAGGCUCAAAAUUCUACAGCAAAUCUGCCCAGCUAGGAUGGAGGGCACUGGCCCGACUUCUUGCUUCUGGCUCUAAUGGUUGCUUUCCCAUUGCCCUAUUCCUGUUUCCACUGUGGAAAUCAGCAUUGAUCUGCAUAUCUGAUCUGUUGCACUGCAGAACGGUAAGGAACAGAGGAGGCCCCCAACACUUAAAGCUCUUGAGUGGAUUCCAGACAACUGAGAAGAUAGGUGCUUGAUUGCCAUGGGUGGUUAGUGCUGGAAUUCAGGAAACUUUGAUCCCCACCCCUCUGCCACUAACCUGUUGUGUGGCCUUCGCACAACCAACUGGGGACCAUCCCUGUACUCAGUUUCCCAUCUAAAAUCAAAGGGUUGAAUAAUAACAACAUACUGAAGUGUUUUUCUGGUUGCAGAUGUUGUAAGGAGACUUCACAUUUAAAAAAA
rnacentral:lncRNA from 1 species